GACGAACGCUGGCGGCGUGCUUAACACAUGCAAGUCGAGCGGUAAGGCCCUUUCGGGGGUACACGAGCGGCGAACGGGUGAGUAACACGUGGGUGACCUGCCCUCAGCUCUGGGAUAAGCCUGGGAAACCGGGUCUAAUACUGGAUAUGACUCCAUGACGCAUGUUGUGGGGUGGAAAGCCUUGUGCGGCUGAGGAUGGGCCCGCGGCCUAUCAGCUUGUUGGUGGGGUGANGGCCUACCAAGGCGACGACGGGUAGCCGGCCUGAGAGGGCGACCGGCCACACUGGGACUGAGACACGGCCCAGGCUCCUACGGGAGGCAGCAGUGGGGAAUCUUGCGCAAUGGGCGAAAGCCUGACGCAGCGACGCCGCGUGAGGGAUGACGGCCU
rnacentral:rRNA from 1 species